rnacentral:rRNA from 1 species
CCAGACCUGACUGCUAUCGGAUUGAUACUAAGCCAUGCGAGUCGUUGUAGCAAUACAAGGCAUACGGCUCAGUAACGCGUAGUCAACCUAACCUAUGGACGGGAAUAACCUCGGGAAACUGAGAAUAAUGCCCGAUAGAACAUUAUGCCUGGAAUGGUUUAUGUUCCAAAUGAUUUAUCGCCAUAGGAUGGGACUGCGGCCUAUCAGUUUGUUGGUGAGGUAAUGGCCCACCAAGACUAUUACAGGUACGGGCUCUGAGAGGAGUAGCCCGGAGAUGGGUACUGAGACACGGACCCAGGCCCUAUGGGGCGCAGCAGGCGAGAAAACUUUGCAAUGUGCGAAAGCACGACAAGGUUAAUCCGAGUGAUUUCUGCUAAAGAGAUCUUUUGUUAGUCCUAGAAACACUAACGAAUAAGGGGUGGGCAAGUUCUGGUGUCAGCCGCCGCGGUAAAACCAGCACCUCAAGUGGUCAGGAUGAUUAUUGGGCCUAAAGCAUCCGUAGCCGGCUCUGUAAGUUUUCGGUUAAAUCUGUACGCUCAACGUACAGGCUGCCGGAAAUACUGCAGAACUAGGGAGUGGGAGAGGUAGACGGUACUCGGUAGGAAGUGGUAAAAUGCUUUGAUCUAUCGAUGACCACCUGUGGCGAAGGUGGUCUACCAGAACACGUCCGACGGUGAGGGAUGAAAGCUGGGGGAGCAAACCGGAUUAGAUACCCGGGUAGUCCCAGCUGUAAACUAUGCAAACUCAGUGAUGCAUUGGCUUGUGGCCAAUGCAGUGCUGCAGGGAAGCCGUUAAGUUUGCCGCCUGGGAAGUACGUACGCAAGUAUGAAACUUAAAGGAAUUGGCGGGGGAGCACCACAAGGGGUGAAGCCUGCGGUUCAAUUGGAGUCAACGCCGGGA